rnacentral:rRNA from 1 species
UACGUAGGGGGCGAGCGUUACCCGGAUUCACUGGGCGUAAAGGGGGCGUAGGUGGCCGUGUAAGUCCGGUGUGAAAAGCCACGGCUCAACCGUGGACCUGCGCUGGAAACUACACGGCUUGAGGACGGUAGAGGGAGACGGAACUGCUGGUGUAGGGGUGAAAUCCGUAGAUAUCAGCAGGAACGCCGGUGGAGAAGUCGGUCUCCUGGGCCUGUACUGACGCUCAUGCACGAAAGCGUGGGGAGCAAACAGG